rnacentral:lncRNA from 1 species
CGCCCAGUCUGGUGGGGCAGACUGACUUUCAAAGUAAUGAGUGUACGUACAUGUUCUUGACACAGGUUUGUGGCAAUGCGUGAGAUGUUUACUGAGCUGAACCAUUUUCAAGGCUGAGGGAGCCAAGUGAAUGAUCACUGACUCCCCUCCUCAUGCACCUUUCCCAGUAGAUCUUCCAUUCUCCCCUGAUGGAGACCUCCUGACUCCUAGGCCAAGUUCUCGGGAGACUGCGUCAUUCGCAUGGACCCAGCUUUGUCCCCCAUCACAUCCUGGCCAUCAGUGGACCUUCUAAGUGUGGCCUCUAUCUUCUCACAUGGCUAGCAGAGUGUGCACAAUUGGUAGGAAAUGAAAUGCUCACAGCCAGCCAGGCCUGGAAAGGGUUCAUGCUGCUUAUUUUAACUAAAGAGUAGGCGGCCAGUUCUCUUCAUUCUUAUCCCCUGCUCAAUGAGUCAAGUUAGUACAUUAAUAAAGUAAUGCAUUAAUUAAUAGAUCCAUCAAACAUUUACUGAACACCUAUUUUGUGCCAGGCCACAGAGGCAGAUGUUUAGAAUACAAAGAUAAAUGGCUUCUGGUUGCUGCUCCCAGCUGAGGCUUUUCUCCUGGUUCGUAGGAGGAGGCUCUAGAAUCUGGAGAGCUGGCUGCUAGCCCUGGAUCCCUUGUUUCCUGAGAUACUCAACUUCCCAGCCUCCCUUGCAGCUAGUGGUAAUCAUGUGACCCACUUCUGGCCAGUAAGAUGAAAAAAGGAAGUUCACUGGACUGGCAGAGGGAGCUUGGGAGGGCUUUUGCUGAUGCCACUUGUUCUUCUUGCCAUAAAGAGUCUGUGUCCCUGGAGGCUGAGGAAGGAACCAGAAGUUGCACUUUCCAACAUGGAUCGCCUGCUAAUUUUCCAAGGCAGCUCAGCCCCUGCCAGCGUCCCCUCCCUCCUUUGGGCUGAGGGCCCAGGAACCCAGCCUCAAAGUUCAGCUUGCUUCCUCCAGCACGCACAUUUGGAAAUUGAAAUUUCCCACAUUUUCACCACACAAAAGCCAGGUUGUAUUUUUGUUCUCUUCAAAAUAUGCCAAAGGAAUUUUUCCUACCCCUUGAACUUUCUCCAAAAAUAAGUAGAAAAAGUCAAGACCAUUUUGCCCUGUAAGCUGAGAAUAGAAAAAUCAACAUGCAGGGUGCCAUUUCCAGGAUGUUACGAAACAGCGAACAUGUGAAUCCGUCUCAACACCAUUUGGCAACUUUGGGGAUACAGUAGAUGAUAUUUCUCACCCACAAACUCCUCACUGAGUUUAUAUUAACAUUUUGCUUUUUUUUUUUAAAAAAAAAGAAAAAAGAUUCUGAAAAAGGUAAGAAGCCUUGAUAAAUUACCACCACCUGGAUUAAAAUUCAGAGUCAGCACACUGACCACCAGCAAAUAAAACAUGAAACUAUACAGAUAACUUAGUAAAACAAAAAACGAUAGUGGCCCAAGAUAAAUUAAACUUGCAGCAUAAAGGUUGAAGCCAAGGAAGGAAGGGAAGUAUUUAUCCCAUAACUAAUGAAGACUGCAAAGAACUAAGUAUAAUCGUAAAAGUACAUGGAUUAUUCUCAACUCACCAGAUCAUCCAUUCCCAGGAUUGUCUGCGAUCCUGGUCUGGGCUUCCCAGGCCCCUGUAUCUGCUGCCUUCAAAACCCUGCAUGCGGGUCUCUUGUGUCUCCCCCACCCCCCCCCAUCUCCCAGCUCAGUGAGAAUCAUCUUUCACAGUUUGAUCACAUCACUCCCAGCUCUGCUUAUCUCUCCUGGCUUCCCUUCUCAAAGCCAAACAGCUAGCUCUGCCCCCAGGGCCCUUCUCCUGACCCCUGGCUCCUGACAGCCUACUCCCCAACCCCUGCUCAUCACUUCCCAGGAAUUUGCUUUAAGCAAGGGACCUGCCUGUGCACUGGCCUCCACUCAGCACGAGUCUGAGAGAGUCCAAGUAGAAAACAGGACACUUAGCUACCAUCUACUCCCAACCUCUCUCCUGAGGAGGACUCACCCUAAAGGUAAGCUGGCUGAGUCCAUCAGAAUUUGCUCCCAUGACUCGAGUAACCGGGAGCUCAUGCACACCUGUACGGAAGAAAAGCAGACAGAGGACAAGGCUUGCAGACGAAAAGUGUACAUCCAAACCCAUCUCUCCCAGCUACCAGCUGUGCCAUACUGGGCAAGCGAUGGGUCUUCUCUGGGGCUCAGACCUUCCGUCUGGAAAAUGAGGCUAAUGAGUCCUACCUCAUAGCCAUCAACGACAUCAGGAACAUCAUCAUCAUCAUCCCUGGACAAUUUCAGUGUGAAAGGAACGUGGUAUUGCAGCUAGUAAGACCUGAAUUGGAAUCCCAGCUCCAGAACUUGGGGAAAUGAGUCAACUUCUCUGACCUUCACUUUCCCCAUCUAUAAAGUAGGGAUAGAAAGGUCUCCCUCAAAGGGUGACUGUCUAGAUUGAAUAAGAUGACACAUGUAAAAAUGGCUUUGCAAACUGUUUAAUUGGAAUAAAUAUACGCAUUUUUUUCUGCUGAGCUAAAAC